rnacentral:rRNA from 1 species
UGUCUUUUUGAUUAUAAUUUAAAGUCUAAUCUGCCCACUGAAAAAUUUAAAUGGCCGCGGUAUUUUGACCGUGCAAAGGUAGCAUAAUAAUUAGUUUAUUAAUUGUAAGCUGGAAUGAAUGAUUGAAUGAGAAAAUGACUGUCUCAAUUUAAUUGAUUUAGAAUUUUAUUUUUAGGUUAAAAAGCUUAAAUAUAUUUAAAAGACGAGAAGACCCUAUAGAGUUUUAUAUUUUUUUAGGAAAAUUAUUUUUUGUUUUAAAUAUAUUUUUAUAAUUAAAUAUUUUAUUGGGGUGAUAGAAAAAUUUAAUUAACUUUUUUUUAAUUUUUACAUUAAUAAGUGAAUAUUUGAUCCAUUUAUGAUUAAAAGAAAAAAUUACCUUAGGGAUAACAGCGUAAUUUUUUUUAAGAGUUCUAAUCGAAAAAAGAGAUUGCGACCUCGAUGUUGGAUUAAAGUUAAAUUUUGGUGUAGAAGCUAAAAAUUUAGGUCUGUUCGACCUUUAAAACUUU